ACCCACUUCCUCCCGAUAGGUAGGCACACCGCACAAGUCGCCCCCACCUACCUUCGUUCUAUCGUGUGAUCCCUGAUCCAGAUUCCUCCUGUUCGUCUCCGUCCUCGCCGCCUCAACUACGCCCCGUGAUCUCGAUGUCGAGGACUUCCCCAUCUCUCCAGCACCUCCCUCCACUCCCACCCAGACCAAUCUAGGAUACGCCCCCAAACGCCAACCCUGCGGCAUCGACGGAGCGUGACAAUGUCGACCGCCCGGCGAGGCGGCGACUUGCCGGACCAGAUGGUGCGGAACCUUCUGGAGCAGGAGAGUCUUCAUCGGAGGCAAGACCACCUGCAGCUUCUUCAUCUCCAUCCUCGUAGCCGCCGUCAGCUUGUUCGUGCUUGUCCAUCGAUUCUGCCAGUACCACAUCCUCGCCAAGGACUUCUCCAACCUCAACGCCAUGGUAAUUUUGUAUUCUCUCGCCUCUCUCUUUGCUUGCUGCCAGUUCACUCGGUCAGCCUAGGUUGUUGGUAUUUGCGAGACAGGCAAACACUCAUGCUGGCUAUUAAAAUGGAGACUUUCAAUUUUGGGUGUUUUCGUAGGUAUGUGGUACUACUUUGUGAUAUGUGGCUGGUUGAUGAACCCUGUAUAUUCCCAAUCCUUUGGAACAGAGAUUCUACUUGCGUUGGUUAGAUGCUGGAUUUCAUCUUAUACCUUCCUUGGAAGGUGACAACAGAAGAUAAGGUCUGCGACUGGAAAAUAAGUAUGCUGUUUGGGCAUUUUCAUUUUAAUAUGUUCUGCUGAUGACCGACUUUGUGUGAAGAUUAAGGUGUCUACCUUGUAGAAAAAAAUACCAAUCAUCUAGCAAUUUCCUUUAAGUAUUAUAGUAUUCCUGAUCCACCGUUGUGGUUGUUGGCUUGCGCCGUUGUGUAUGUACACGCUAAUGACCGGCUGGCCGCAGCUAAUUACUCAUUAUCCAAUAUGUUAAUGAACUAGGACGAAAUUAGAUAAUCCCAAAGCCAGCAGGCAAUAGCCCAUGUACGAUCGUGGCUGGCUUAUUUUGAUCGAUGAAUCGAUCAGAUCAUGACCUGUGUAUAUGCAUGUUCAACACUUUCACCGGCUGGAUAUAGUAACUUCAGUUCAGAUUUGAUUGUGGCUGUCAUCCUAGAGUGUAGUAGCAGCAGCUGCUAGCAGCCUAACGCUGGAGCACUUGGUGUAGCGCCGCAGCAUUGGUCUUCACAACAGUGUGUUUGCUGCGCACCGUCUUCGACGACGCGUUGAUCUUCAGAGUCUUUGAACCUGGCGUCACAACUCAUGUGAGUCAACCUUAAACUUAAGGUAUAUCAUUACAAAUUUAUAUUGUUGUUAGGACUUUUAAAGAUUGCCAGUCAGUGUUUUUGUUCAAUCUACUUAAAUGUGCUAGCAAGUGCUUGUGAAAUGAAUCCAUCAUUCUUUACAGGACAAAAAUUUCUUACAUAUUCAUCUUUGGGAGUAGGGGUGCAGAGCGGCGUGCCGUGAAGUCCCAGAAAAGUGCCCAGCUAGUGCAAAAUACUCUAACGCACUCUGAUCAAGCUAAAACAGAAUUUUCCCAUUUUGAACUAGAAGUGGGGCGGAUCGGGCACCGCCCUGCAUCCCUAUUUGGGAGAAAGUUCAGGGCAUAUAUAGCGGGCUACUUCUGUAGAAGGAGGUACAACAUGAAUAAUGCUGGAUUGUAAAGCUGUAGGUGAUUUAAGUGACAUCAUCUGCAGUGUAAUUCAAAAAAUCAUGUUGAAAAAGAUUUUGCAUUCACUCAGAUUACUAUUGUUGUCAAUCAUAUAUAUAUAUUUAAAUGAAAAUCACUAGAAAACACACUUGUUAACAUUUAAUACAGCCACCUGAUUUAGCUUUGUGCGAAUUAUUUUCUAUCAACUUCAAGUAUUUCAGCUGCCUUGUGACCAUGAGGUCACGGGUUCAAGUCCUGGAAACAGCCUCUUACAGAAAUGUAGGGAAAGGCUGCGUACUAUAGACCCAAAGUGGUCGGACCCUUCCCCGGACCCUGCGCAAGCGGGAGCUACAUGCACCGAGCUGCCCUUUUUUUCAAGUAUUUCUGGACAUUUUUAAAUCUCUGCAUUUAUAUAUGCACUGUUUUGGUAACUUCAGAUCUGUGUUUGCAAUGAAGCAUGCUCUAUUUGUCGGCGGACAUAUUUUUUGGGCAUUUACCUCCUUCAUUAUAUUCUUUGUAAGGUGUUUAUUAACUAAUUAACAUAUGAAUGGUCUAUUCAUAAGGCUCUCUUUUCUCUGUCUAUAGAGUUGAGUGCUAUGGCUGGGACUGUAAAGAAGUGUUCAAAUUAUGAUAGAUCAAAGCCCUUCACAGGUGAUGACGUAUGUUGGAUGAUGGAAUGAUUAUUCUGUUCUGGUGCUUGCUUUGACUUGGGUGUUCAGAGAAGUAAAACUUUGAACUAACGUCUUUAGUGAAGCAACAUAUUGUAUCUGAAGUGAAACUUUCUCUUUGAUACGGAGAUGCGAGCAUCAAACUAACAUCCAUCUAAAGAUAAGAUUGCCAAUAUAAAUCGAUGAUGCAUGGCUCGGAAGUUGGUUGCAAAAUCACGAAGGUGGCUACUAGUUUUAGAUUAGGUUAUUAGAAUGUCAUUCAGGUCAAUGUUUCAAACAUUAUGUUUUAGAUGGCUGACAUGUUGAUUGCAAGGUUGAGAAUCAGACUACUACUAGAUAGUUUCACAUACUGUAAUCUUUGUAUCAUGCUCUUUGUAAAGCAACCGAGUUGAUUUAAUAUAUGUGACCUUUCUAAUUA